ACGUACACUCCUGCGGGAGGCAGCAGUGGGGAAUAUUGGACAAUGGGCGCAAGCCUGAUCCAGCCAUGCCGCGUGAGUGAUGAAGGCCCUAGGGCUGUAAAGCUCUUUCACCGGUGAAGAUAAUGACGGUAACCGGAGAAGAAGCCCCGGCUAACUUCGUGCCAGCAGCCGCGGUAAUACGAAGGGGGCUAGCGUUGUUCGGAUUUACUGGGCGUAAAGCGCACGUAGGCGGACUAUUAAGUCAGGGGUGAAAUCCCGGGGCUCAACCCCGGAACUGCCUUUGAUACUGGUAGUCUUGAGUUCGAGAGAGGUGAGUGGAAUUCCGAGUGCAGAGGUGAAAUUCGUAGAUAUUCGGAGGAACACCAGUGGCGAAGGCGGCUCACUGGCUCGAUACUGACGCUGAGGUGCGAAAGCGUGGGGAGCAAACAGGAUUAGAUACCCCUGUAGUCCCAUG
rnacentral:rRNA from 1 species